CCUACGGGAGGCAGCAGUGGGGAAUAUUGGGCAAUGGGCGCAAGCCUGACCCAGCAACGCCGCGUGCAGGAAGAAGGCUUUCGGGUUGUAAACUUCUUUUCUCAGGGACGAAGCAAGUGACGGUACCUGAGGACUAAGCCACGGCUAACUACGUGCCAGCAGCCGCGGGAAUACGUAGGUGGCAAGCGUUAUCCGGAUUUACUGGGUGUAAAGGGCGUGUAGGCGGGAAAGCAAGUCAGAUGUGAAAACCAUAGGCUCAACCUGUGGCCUGCAUUUGAAACUGUUUUUCUUGAGUACUGGAGAGGCAGACGGAAUUCAUGGUGUAGCGGUGAAAUGCGUAGAUAUUAGGAGGAACACCAGUGGCGAAGGCGGUCUGCUGGACAGCAACUGACGCUGAGGCGCGAAAGCGUGGGGAGCAAACAGGAUUAGAUACCCGUGUAGUC
rnacentral:rRNA from 1 species